UUCUCCUGGAAAAGGGUGGUAAUGCCGGAUGCUCCAGUUGAUCGCAUGGUCUUCUGGGAAAGCUUUCGCGGUAUGGGAUGGGGUCGCGUCCUAUCAGCUUGACGGCGGGGUAACGGCCCACCGUGGCUUCGACGGGUAGCCGGCCUGAGAGGGCGACCGGCCACAUUGGGACUGAGAUACGGCCCAGACUCCUACGGGAGGCAGCAGUGGGGAAUAUUGCACAAUGGGCGCAAGCCUGAUGCAGCGACGCCGCGUGAGGGAUGGAGGCCUUCGGGUUGUAAACCUCUUUUAUCGGGGAGCAAGCGAGAGUGAGUUUACCCGUUGAAUAAGCACCGGCUAACUACGUGCCAGCAGCCGCGGUAAUACGUAGGGUGCAAGCGUUAUCCGGAAUUAUUGGGCGUAAAGGGCUCGUAGGCGGUUCGUCGCGUCCGGUGUGAAAGUCCAUCGCUUAACGGUGGAUCCGCGCCGGGUACGGGCGGGCUUGAGUGCGGUAGGGGAGACUGGAAUUCCCGGUGUAACGGUGGAAUGUGUAGAUAUCGG
rnacentral:rRNA from 1 species